UACCAGCACCCCGAGUGGUCGGGACGUUUUAUUGGGCCUAAAGCAUCCGUAGCCGGUUCUACAAGUCUUCCGUUAAAUCCACCUGCUUAACAGAUGGCUGCGGAAGAUACUAUAGAGCUAGGAGGCGGGAGAGGCAAGCGGUACUCGAUGGGUAGGGGUAAAAUCCGUUGAUCCAUUGAAGACCACCAGUGGCGAAGGCGGCUUGCCAGAACGCGCUCGACGGUGAGGGAUGAAAGCUGGGGGGAGCAAACCG
rnacentral:rRNA from 1 species